rnacentral:rRNA from 1 species
UACGAAGGGGGCUAGCGUUGUUCGGAUUUACUGGGCGUAAAGCGCGUGUAGGCGGACUUGUAAGUUGGGGGUGAAAUCCCGAGGCUCAACCUCGGAACUGCCUCCAAAACUACAAGUCUGGAGCAAGAUAGAGGCAAGUGGAAUUGCGAGUGUAGAGGUGAAAUUCGUAGAUAUUCGCAAGAACACCAGUGGCGAAGGCGGCUCACUGGCCCGAUACUGACGCUGAGGUGCGAAAGCGUGGGGAGCAAACAGG